AUACGUAGGGGGCGAGCGUUGUCCGGAAUGACUGGGCGUAAAGGGCGUGUAGGCGGCGGUGUAAGUCUGGAGUGAAAGUCCCGCAUUCAAUGUGGGAAUUGCUUUGGAUACUGCAGUGCUAGAGUGCGGAAGAGGUAAGUGGAAUUCCCAGUGUAGCGGUGAAAUGCGUAGAGAUUGGGAGGAACACCAGUGGCGAAGGCGGCUUACUGGGUCGUAACGGACGCUGAGGCGCGAAUGCGUGGGGAGCGAACAGGAUUAGAUACCCUGGUAGUCCACGUUGUAAACGAUGAAUGCUAGGUGUAGGGGGUAUCGACUCCCUCUGUGCCGCAGUUAACACAAUAAGUAUUCCGCCUGGGGAGUACGGCCGCAAGGUUGAAACUCAAAUGAAUUGACGGGU
rnacentral:rRNA from 1 species